CCUGCACCUAGAGGCUUUGCAGGUCUGGCUACUGUGUCACACAUGCAUCAGUAGGUGUCAGAGAAGAAAGAGGCUAUAUCUAUGCUCAGUGUUCUGACCUAUGAACAUCUGAAUGAUUGAUUAGUAGCCUAACACU